UACGAAGGGGGCUAGCGUUGCUCGGAAUCACUGGGCGUAAAGCGCACGUAGGCGGAUCCUUAAGUCGGGGGUGAAAUCCUGGAGCUCAACUCCAGAACUGCCUUCGAUACUGAGGAUCUUGAGUCCGGGAGAGGUGAGUGGAACUGCGAGUGUAGAGGUGAAAUUCGUAGAUAUUCGCAAGAACACCAGUGGCGAAGGCGGCUCACUGGCCCGGUACUGACGCUGAGGUGCGAAAGCGUGGGGAGCAAACAGG
rnacentral:rRNA from 1 species